CAAGAGCGUAUGUAAAAGUUGUUGCAGUUAAAAAGCUCGUAGUUGAACCUUGGGUUUGGUUGGCCGGUCCGCUUUUUUGCGAGUACUGGAUUCAACCGAGCCUUUCCUUCUGGCUAACCAGUCGUUUCGGCGGCUGGCGAACCAGGAUUUUUACUUUGAGAAAAUUAGAGUGUUCAAAGCAGGCAUUAGCUUGAAUAUAUUAGCAUGGAAUAAUAGAAUAGGACGUUAUGGUUCUAUUUUGUUGGUUUCUAGGACCAUCGUAAUGAUUAAUAGGGACGGUCGGGGGCAUCAGUAUUCAGUUGUCAGAGGUGAAAUUCUUGGAUUUACUGAAGACUAACUACUGCGAAAGCAUUUGCCAAGGACGUUUUCACUAA
rnacentral:rRNA from 1 species